UUUUCUUUACAAGGUUCUAGCAACAUGCUUUGUCAGAAAAGCGAUGGAUUAUUUUUUCUCAUGAGUUAAAAUGGUUAGACGGAUCACCACCUAAAAAGAAGGAAAUUGAAAAAGAAAAACAUAUUGUAAGUAUUUUAUAAAGUGAAACCAACAGAUAACAAAUUACUGAACUCCGAGGAAAAUUCAAUACAGAAAGUCAAUAAUCAAAUGGCUGAAAAUCAAAGUUCAAACACAUGAAACGAAUGGGUACAACUGUAAUAUUCCUGACUUGGUGCAGGCAUUUUCUUACUUAGAAAAUGGUGUAUUGAACCUAGAUUUAUAGCUAGCUAAACCUCGAACUUGUAUGAAAGUCGCAUGAAAUUCUAUUAUAUUGACAGCUACUAGUAUGUGUGAAUAAAACACACGUGUGAAAUUUUCAUUCAUGUACUUCGGAUAGCAAUACGGUCGUGUUAAUAAAUAUAUUACCAGUUUAAUAGGAUACCCAACACUUAAACAAAAAUAGAUUUGGCCUGUUUAUUUUUUUAUCUAGGCAUUUUAUAAAAUAUAACGGUCGUCAAAAAUAGAAAGAUUGUAAGAAAUUUGACACACGCAAUUUACAGGCAUAAUUUAAUUAGAAACAAUUUACAAACACAAGUUUGUAUCAUUACCAAGCUUGCUUUCUCUUACUGACAUUAUGUAAUUUAAACUUGUACUUCAAGAGUUAACUCCCUUAUGUUUUCUGUUUCACCUUGUUCGUUAUUAUAUUUUUCAAUCAAUGUUUAACACAUGUCUAUUAUUAUUUGUACUAACUUUAAAAAGCUUUAGUAUAGUGGAGCAAUUUCUCUUUUCUCAAAAAGCGGGGCAGUUAUUAAAAAAAUAAAAUCAAAGAGGUCAAUGCAAUUUAUAUAAAUGAAUCUUAGAAAUGCGUCCUGUUUGGCGAUAUUUAUUUACUGCUUUGCUCCUACGAGUAAUUUCAUGAGCAAAAGUUUAUUGAAAUAUUUAUUAUUUUUCGCCACAAGAACGAUUCUGGGCAUUUGAUAAACAAAGUAGUUAUUUUUACAGGACAAUACACGUAGGAGAGAGUCUGUUUCAGCAAGAUAAGAAAGGUGUAAAUCAUUGCCAGCAACAACUAACAUGGGAUUUCGACCUCAUUUACUAAGUGUUGACGAAACUGCAAUGAAAACCCAUAACUUGCACGCUUUUGAUAAACGCAAAGAAAGAUUUCAUUAAUGGCACUUCCCGAUGAAAGAACCUACCGGAAGUCAAGUGAACGUUCUAUAAAUAGUGAUUUUCAGUUAUCUGUUUCCUGUUUAAAUAGGUCGUUGUCACAAGAAAAUGCAGACGGUAUAAGAAAUCAAGAAAUAUUUGACAAGAGGAAAACACGAAGGCUAUCACUACUUGCUAUACCACCGCCAACAUUGCACGAGUAAAACAAAAACUACGUGACCACGUUACAUAUAAGCAUUAUAAAACUGUUAGAGUUAACGAAUUGAUUUUCAUUUAAGUGAGCUGAGAGUUUU
rnacentral:lncRNA from 1 species